GACAGAUCAUUGACCAGGCUGGAAAUAGAAAAUCUGCCUGUUUAAAAGCAGAGGGACAAGUCCUGCCUCCAGCAAUGUGUGCACCUGGUGGGCAGGGGGAGGCUGUGCCUGCACUAACAUGUAAGCAUGGGUGAACUGAUGCUGGCCUCGUUCAGCCAAUUCAGGAAGGAUGUAAGCUUCACUAGAGAUUCACAUACGCCUAAAUUGAGGCAUGUACCUGGGUCUGAUGGUGUCAUGGGCAUCUGCAGGCUGGUUUCUGGGCUUGUGCCAAAUCUCACAGCUCACCACGCAGCUCCGCAGGGCGCAGUUUGCACACCUAGCACCUUAAGUGAGUUCCUGCAAGUUUAAAGAGAACCAUCACCUUCAGAUAUCUCCUCUAUCUGAAAGCAUCUCAGGAUACUGCUGCCUCAGGUAAUGCUGCUAUACACACAAAAUCAGAGUGUCCCUGUACUGCUGAUAAACCUUUCCCUGUUGUAUUCCACUGGGAGCUGUUAGCAGUGCUGUGUGACAUCCAGAGAGAAGGCGCGUUUAACACAACAGCAAGCACUCAGACAAUUUAAAUGAUCCCAUAAAAGCUGCAAUUACCAUCAGGACAAAUCCAGCUCUGAUUGACUCCCACGUUAGCUCCCAAAGUUUGAUUCCCAGCUGCAAGGAUGCAACUACGUUCACAGAUAAGAUUUGUCUGCUGUUGUUUAUCCUAUCUUCACUGAAGCACUGUUUUUGUUACUGGGAGAAAUGCAAGAGAGGAGCACAUUAUAGCAUUCGUAGCAUUAAAAAGACCUUCUGUUUUUUCUGGCAUGUCUCUGCUUGCUUGGAUAAUUCUCAAGAGAAAGGAUAAGACAGUAGUCAACCAUAUCAUCAGAAAGAAGCAGAUUGCAGGUGGUCCUCCAGAGAAUCCUGGCACGGGAGCUGGCAGAGAUCUAACAAUCAGAUCUGACCUGUAUCCCUACUUUCCAGAUUGUCUCAUCCCUGGCUCCCUGACUUCUUGCCUGCCAUUCUGAACCCCUCAGAACACUCAAGACAACAUUACACACAAUGUGCACUCACAAUGUGCACUCAAGCUUCCCUGCUUUCUCGUGGACAUCCAGCACCAAAUGGGUGGAGAUAUCAGGGCCAUCACACCCACCCUCCAGAAGUGGCCAGCCUGCUUGGUAAGGGAUGUGAUAUGCCACUAAGGCAUCUCCUUGUGUAGGGUAGGCUGGAGCCAGUUGACUUCCUACUUUGAGAUGGUUUGAUUUCCUGCUCUAAUCUCUACCUACAAAGAAAUGUCCCAAAUGUACUGAAGUGAAAUGAAAUGGAAUAGUGGGAAUAGUGUAGUUCUCAACACUACGUAGGAAAUGUAUAGAGUAAUAAGAGUUUACACUCUGAAGCUAAGAAUUGGCUCAGAGAUGGAUAAAAAUUACCAUGAUGUAUUCCUGCUGUUUUCAGUCAAGACGAAUUCUUCUGCUUAUUCAUAGUCUAUUUUAAAAUGCACCUUUACUUUUCUUCUCCUACCAGUUUUAUUCAAAUGUAAAUCUAUUGACUUUAGCAGAGUUCUGAUAUUUGUCUCAUUUCCUCAGUGUAUUUUUCAGUCUUAUGCAUGACUUUUCCUCCUGAAACACCCAACGAAGAAAAACCCACUAAGGUCUACGAUAUACAAACUGAAGCACCUUCAAAUUGCUGGAGGCUGAGGGGGCAUUACUGCACACUGACUUUGUCUUAGUCCCUUUUGUAGGCCUCUGCUGCCAGAUGUAAUAUUGAACUGGGUGUACCCAUCUAUAUGCAUAGGGAAGUAUUUGUUGUACUCUUCUGAUUGCUACUCUACAGUUAAAGCAUUGGAAUCCUCUUUUAAGGGGACUUAUACACUGAGCUAUUUUCAGAGUUCAGAAAUAAAAACACAAAUAAAAAAAUUCAGCAUGAUUAAUAAUUGUUUGUUUUCUUUUUAAAAAAAGACUGAUGACCAAGAUAAAAAAAAUAAAAACUGUGAAAACAACACCCUUGUUCCUCUACUCUACAAUGACAUAUGGCUAAACACAAAAAAGAAGAAUGGUCAGUCUUUUACAUAUAAAAAGAGAGUUCCUACUGGAUUUAUCACGGCAAUACUCCUGUAGUGAGCCAGAAAUCAUAGAGACAUCUACGAUUAGAAAAUCAUAUAAGAAAUUUUGCUUCUAGAAAGAGAAUGGUCAAGGUUGCUGGGAAAACAAAGAAGAAAGCUUGUAUUCAUACUGUGCUACCAUAGCCUUGGAUGAACACUUGGGUCUUCAAUUUUAGCAGAGUCAAAUACUACAGUGCUUAGAAGCAGAAAUACAAAUAUUUGCACUUAGAAUUAAUGCUUUUAUUCUUGUAUCACUGCAUAUCUGCUGGUACAUUUUCAAGUACAGAAUCAGAAAUGAGAUAAACCUGGCAGUUUAGGAUGCUAAAAGAAAGGAAAGUACAACUUUGUGGUACUGUCUGGUGUCUGAGAGCUGGGAUAAUCCCAUUUCAUUUCUCAUGAACAGCUUAGAGAGAUUUCCUUAUCUCUUUUUUUUUUUUUUUUGGAGAGUAGUGAGGGUGGAAUCUGUGCACUCACUGUGAUUGAAAGUAUCCUCAGAUGGGGGAGAAGCAAGAAAGCCUUUCUUUCGAUUAUCCAGCAAUGUAGUUGUUAGAGUAGCAGGGGCAGAGAUUGUCACUGCCUGGGAAAAUACUGCUGGCAACAGAAUGUUGAUCUGGUUGCAUGUGGCUUGUGGCUUUACUUCAGCUUACAGAAAGAGACUACUGUCAUCACAGAUAGCUGCAGAUAGGUGUUUAAAAUGAAAAUUAAUAAGGCAUCCCCGUUAAUGGUGCAUUCUGGUAUCUUUAUCACAGCAUGGUUUCUGUAGCAUUUUCAAUUAUCUUAUCAGUCCUCAAUGAUGGGCAAGGACACAGCAUUCUAGUACCAGGUAUGGAGCAAUGUUACUCUUUAAGUGAAAGAUGUGUGCUCAAAUGUUGAGUGUUGCCAAAAUCUAGCUGGUUCUGGUAUUCUCAUCUGCAGAAAUGUGGAAAGGCAGGAUUGUUUUAAAAUGUAUCUCCAAAUUUAAAUGGUUUGAGAGAUAUUAAUUCAGGAGUCAGUUAAAUUCAGUUCUUGCUGUGAAGGUAGUAAUUGGAGGCAGAGCUUUCCCACACAGCGGAAAUCAGAUUAAGCAUUCUGCUACUUAUUUUUUGUGCAUGUCUAUUUCACAUAGUGCAAAAUAUCCUUGCAGUUGUAUCCAUUCGGUUGUGGCCACCAAAUGAUGAAUAAUAACUAUAUGGCAGCCUGCUUGGCCUUUGGCUGUUUUUCUAAGCCUACAUAACAAAUUUGGCCAUCACAGUGGAAGAGCAGCUACACCCAAGUAAACAGUCUGAUUCAGAGUUUCUUUCCCUUGGCUAAAUGAAAUGCACACAGGAGAGUCAGCAACCCCCAGUUUGAAGAACACAGGAUUCACAAGUAGCAGCCUAUUGCAGAAAUAGACUGCUUUGCUGAGGGAGGACUUUUUUCUUCCGAGCUGUAAUAACCUUUCUCAAAGCAUGACAUUUGUUCACCCUUUCAAGGCUGGCAAUGAUGAAGGUCCUGGUCUCCAAAGACGUUCUGAGCUUUCCCAUCAUCCUGAUGACUGUGUCCUCUCCCAGGCUCAAAGAAUUGUCCUGGGUGCACAGCACAUCAGGGUCUCCCAGGGAACACUGUGCAACAGCCUGCAAGCAGCCCCUUGUUGCCACUAGCCAGGGUUGAGGCUGCUGCUGCACUUCUGUGAAACAAUGGGCUCAGCCAUAUUUCACUGUCAGUGUGGUGACAAAUGUUGGCCUCCUGAGACUCCCAGACAUAUGUAACUUGGCUGGCACUCAAUGGCAAAGGUCAUGAGUUGUCGUCUUGCAUCUCCAAGUUCAAUGAGAUGGUUUUGUGCUGUGUUAGUCUCUGUGUAUUAAGUUUCAGCAAAGAGAGGGUGGUGGAGGAGGAAAGAGAUUCUUAUCUGGAGUUAGGUGAUGUUAAAUGUUCUGAAUAAUUAGAUAAGAUUGUGUGUGCCAAACAGACUGUGUUUUCUGAUAAGAUGUCUCUGGUUCCCUCUGCCUCCCUGCCCUCCAGGACAUGCAUGCAUGCACACACCCGCACAUUUUAAGUGGUUUCAGGGCUCAUUAAGUAAGCUUGGCUGAUAGCUGUAGAAAAUGUCAUUCGUUCUCAGUGGGCAGUGAAUCCAUGUUCUGUGCAUUUUUGGUAGUCUCAAAAAGUAGCUAAAGUAGAUGAAAAUUCACUUUCCAUAGUUGAUCUUUUAUUUUCAGCUUGGACUUUUUCAAGUCUGACUGAGCAGCACACAUUGUCUGGGCAUAAACCCAGAGCUUGCACCACAGUGUAAACUGCAGCAGCUCAGUUUGCUUUCAAAGCUCCUAUUGAAUUUCUGAAGAGAUGUGUGAAUUUUAUUGGGAACAGGCAUGUAAGGAUGUACACAAUAUCUCCCUGGCCUCCAUCUGAAAGGAGUCUGGACCAAAUCUGAAUCAUGUUGGAAAAUAUGAUGUGAAGACACAAUUGUGCAGGGAUCUCCAUACGGACCCAGCUCCUUCUGAGGCUGGAGAAGCCAGGAGGAGGACUAAUUUUACAUAUUCUGCCCAAGGCCAAGUCCACCCUCACUUAGCUGCUCCUAAAAGAAAGAAAACAUCA